rnacentral:snoRNA from 1 species
UUUGCCUCUUGAAUAACCAGAAGGUAUUAUUACACGACAUCAUUUGGUUCAGACAGAGGCAUACAACAACCCCCAAAUCCGUUUGAGGGAAAGGAACCCAUCCUCCGUUACUUUCCUAGAUAGAUUUGUACAUUU